UCCUACUUUCGCCUCCCCGUCUCUCCGCCCCUAUCCCUUCUUCUUCUUCCUGGAAUAAAUAAAUUCCCUUCCUAAACUCUUCUUCCUUCCCCUUUCUACAGUAGCCCAUGGAUGCGGGCAUCCAUCUCCGCGUGCGGCACUCCUCCGGCACAAUCCGUCCGUCCUAGGCCGCUCACUGCCUCCAGCGCAACCGCCGGUCUAGAUCACCUCCGCCGCUUACAAGGAUUCCCCCUUGCCGGUGUGAUGCGUGCGUCAUCAAGCCGGCGUCGGAUCCAUCUCCGUGUGAGGCGUUCCCCGACACAAUCUGCCCGUCCUGCGCGCUCACUGCCUCUGGCACAACGGCCUGUCCAGAUCACCUCUGCCCAGUCAUUAGGGGCUCAGUCAACGGCGGCCUUCACCCCGGCCUCGCCCUGCAACAUGUCUCCGUCAAGUACAUCAACCUCGACCGGAACUGCGUCCAGGGGCACCGCGAGUGCUGGUACAUCGUCGACCUCGAUCACUGGACAGUGUCAACCAUGCAUGCAAGAAUCUCAUGAACGACUCUGCUUUGCUCCCAGAAUGAAGAGUACUGUUGCUUAAAUCAUGAAUAAGUGAUCACUAUGUUGAUCAUCUUCAAUUGUAGUAAAAAAUAGGACUCCCGAUGCAUGUAUUCGCAUGAAUAAAAAGUAUUUCUUUUAGAUAAUUUA